GACAGAGGGUGCAAACGUUGUUCGGAAUUACUGGGCGUAAAGCGAGUGUAGGCGGUCUUGUAAGUCGGAUGUGAAAGCCCCGGGCUCAACCCGGGAAGUGCACUCGAUGCUGCGAGGCUAGAGUACUGGAGAGGUUGGUGGAAUUCUCGGUGUAGAGGUGAAAUUCGUAGAUAUCGAGAGGAACACCGGUGGCGAAGGCGGCCAACUGGACAGAUACUGACGCUGAGACUCGAAAGCGUGGGGAGCAAACAGG
rnacentral:rRNA from 1 species